UUGCAUUAUGUGAGCUUCUGUUCCUCAACGCGAAGGUGCGAGUCAACACGAUGAUGGACUUCAUCUCACAGACCAUUGAACUCUCACAGCUGUUCUGUGGACGGGACAAGCCUCGUGUCCGUCAGACGGGUUGCUCCAUCUGUUUAUAUGCUAUAAAAGUUCUCCUCCUCGUGUUCUGGCUGGGUUCGGCUGUCAGACGUGCGCGCUCAUGUCUAACACACAGCUGUAUGAGUGUUUGUGUUCGAGCUCCAGCAGAAGAGCAGGCAUCGCUGAGCAGCUGAGCGACAGGAGACACGUGGCCUCGGAGCGGAUCUUCUCCUCCACGGAACGCAGGAAAGCCCUCCUCCAGCCAUCAACUAACACACUGUUUUGAAAGGAGAACCGUGACACUUUACGCGUGCCGGCGUGAGAAUGGUGUGGUAAAAUGGCUUGCCAACACUGUGCUGGAAUGGCCAAUCAAAUUAUGUAAUGUCAAGUGAGGCCUGUUCAUCUGACAUGUGGUAAGGAUUUGGACGCUCAGGUUAAAGAGUUUACCAUGUCAACGUCCUAAAACUUGCAGAUAAGACAUGAAGAGUCUCUCAUGCUGGGCUCUGUGUCUGAGCACAUCUUCCUCCUGCUCGCCGCUGUUUACUUUGGACUCCGGGAUUCAUGCAUUGGGUUUGUUAAUCUAAGAGAAUGAUUGUUUAGUUUGCAUAAAAGAUAAUUCAGUUUUUCUUUCCUCGUUUUUCAUGGGAGAUCCCUCGAGGCUGAACUUCAGAAGGAAGGCCAGUAGAUUUUGAUAACGUACAAGCAGAGCAUUUGUUUUACUCACCCUUGAAAUCAAAGUUUCCUUUGUGUGUGGGACCGGAUCUGUUUCCCAGGCCUGCAGACUCAGGAGGGUCUUUUGAGUUCAAAACAACAAAGAGGCCUGCGCCUCCACUGACUUCCAAGAGCUAGAACAGAAUCGCAUGUCCUCGCACACACAAAUACAGGCAGAUAGACGGGCAACAGCCUGAGUAAACACAUCUCUGGAUCUAUAUAAAAAAAACAGACUUCACUUGCUCCAAAACGAAGCUGGCUUGGGAGUGUCUAUGUUCGGAAAAUUAUGUAAUGUAAUUCUACCGUAUACUGCCUUUUACUUAAAAAAAAAAAAAAAAAUUCAAAUCUUAAUAGUCAUGUCUACUCUGUCAUGAUGGUUAUUUUGCUUUUUUUAAAUCUAAUUUUGUGUAAAAAUGUCUGAUCAGUUCAAGAAGUCAAGUAGGUUUUAAAGAUCAUCCUUGCAUACUAGUAAUGGCAGGUCAAGUUGAGAACUCUGCACAGUAUACUACGCCUGUAUGCUGCAUUAUUUGUCCAUCACAUACAAAUAUGUGCAUAUUUGCACAGUAUAUGCAUUGCAUACUGCAAAAGCUGCAUAAAUAGAAUUGUAAUUUGCAAUUUUGGACAUUCUAAAAUUUGGUGUUUCUAACCGAUCAGUAACUUAACCUAAACAUGGGUUUACACUCUUUCCCCAAUGUCUAGGUGAAGAUAAACUCUUUAAAGCUCUUCGAUAAGACAUCUGAGUAAGUUGUAGUGAAAGUUUUAUUUUGGAUGUUUAGAACAAGCAUACUGUACAAAAGCAGCAAUAAUACCAUAUCCAAGCACAAUUUUUCAUUGCUACCUGUUAUAAACACAUUUUAAGGCUGUAGUUAAUUAUCCAUACGUAUUUCAAAAUACUUUUCCAUCUUAAGAUACCUCAUUAUAGCACAAUUAUAUGUCAGCACUUCAUCCAAAAACGUAGAUUUGCUGAACAUUUACUCACCCUCAGGCCACACAAGAUGUAUCGGAGUUUGUUUUAAUUUAGCAGUACAUCAAUUAAUGUCUUGUGAAGUGAAAAGCUUCAUGUUUGUGAGGAACAAAUCCAUUAUUAAGGUGUUUUAACUUGAAACUGUUGCUUGUGGACAAAAUACAUAAUUCAUAAUACUCCAUAAUCCAUGAUAAUGCUUCCUCCAGUGGAAAAGUCCAUUCCCUGUUGUUCCCUUACAUAUCUGAUUUGUGCUUGAUCUAUGCAUAUUUCUCUCCUGAUUCAGGUGGGUUUUUUAACAGGAUGAAACAAUAUGUAUUUAAUAUUCAUGUUAAAAAUGUCUUGAUGGAAUAUUAUUUUUUCAGUUGCAUUCCCAAAUUGCAACAGUAUUUUAUAAUUGUGAUAGAAUAUUUAACAUAUUUAAAGUCAAUUCACAGCACUUUAGAAAUGAAAUAAAAACAUAAAACAGCAAAAACACACUGAUGCACAUUCUUUAUUCAUCAUGUUGUAGAAGGAGAGUUUUUAAUGCACUGACCGAACGACUUGAACGCACAUGACAUUGAAAUCACGACUUCCCAAAUCGUAAAUAUGAACUUCCUUGGAGGACUUGAAUGUGUCAUAUGUAGAAUAAUCCGAAUCAGUCACUUACGAGGUUCCACUGUUGUUUUAAAAGGCAGCUGACUAUGUAGGAAGCUCACUUCAAGAACCACAGAAGGUCUGAAGGAUUUAAUUCUGAACAUACAGUACUUUGCAUGAUUUCAGCGUGUCUCUCUGAGACUUGUUUAAUAUGUGGUUGAGGCGUUUUGCGUUAACUGCAGCUAGCUGGCUAAAGCUCUCUGCUUUGUUCUCCAAUCCUGAGGUUAACGAUUUUCCGUCGUGGGAGGCGGGGGAGAGCAGCGGCAGAAUUAGGAUUCAGCUCCCAUCCUCAGCGCCGAGCGGCUGUCUGCUGCCUACCCAGCAACCCUGGCGCUUUGUGACAAGGAGAUGGAUGAUAUCUGCAGCCUGGCCGGCCGCUCUACGGGUAACGGGAGCACCUGCGGCCACCGCUAACUGCCAUCCGACGGGUUAAAAGCUCUGACUGGAGGAAGACGCUCAGAGCAGCCGCGGGGUCCACUGGAGUCCCAUCGGCUGAGAGAAACCUGUGAGACAGAAGCUAAUUAUCCUCUAAAGCAAAAAGCCAGUUGUGGUUCAAUAACUCCAGCACGCUGCCAGCCAGAUACUGCGUUUCCUUGGCAACGCCUCCACAGCAGUACUGCAGACAUCACAGAGAAAGGCAGGCGGUCACAGGGUACACAGGGCAGGAUGAAUCGGGGAGGAAAGACUUUACGAGUGACGGGCCGUCCUCUAGACUGAUGCAGGCCAAUUACAGGCCAUUACACUCGGCUGAGAUUGAUCUGCUUUCUUUACAUUUGGGGACCCAAUGAUGUACUGUAUGUAUAAAAUAAUAGCAUUUUCAAAAUUACUUCUGGUUUUCUGUUCAAAUUCUUGUAAUAUCUCUGUCUGACCUAAUCAAACCCCCAGCAGACAGAUAUGAUCAAAGCUUUAAUCCUUGGACCACGAAGUAGACUAAACUAAAGGGACACCUGACAAAAACACACAUAAUCAUUUGUACCUCUGAAUGCCAUCCAUCUUGAUGUUUGAUGUACGUUAUCAAGUUUAGAAUAAGUUUUCGUACGAUUACUAAAAAUGAAGUACCAAUCUAACACAUCAAAGCAAAUUUUGAGAUUUUGCCUCCAUCACACUGAGCUCUUCCUAGCUGAAGCUGGUUUAACCAUCAAACCAAGAAAAAAAAAGCUGGCUCUUACAAAUAAAGAUUCUUUAUUGGUAUCGAUGGUUUCAUGAAGAACAUUCAUGAAAAACAUCCUUGGAACCUUUAUUUUUAAGAGUGUAUGUUGGAAACCAGUAUAAUGGAAAUGUAUCUUCUCCAAACCAAUAGCCAGUGAAAGUUAAAAGAAACACAAUGUGUGUGAAACAGUGAUUUUUUAAAUACAUUUAGUUCAUACUAAGUAUAGUUCAAAUCUAUUAACAUAUUUACUGAUGUAUCGCUUGACACUUACUGAUAUAAAAAUGGUAAUUAAACUUUAUUUGGAGAACUUGCGUAAUGCAAACUUCUUAAUAUUAAGCUUAAAAUGUGUUUUAAUGUCACUAUUGAUGAGGAUUGUAUGAUCUCUGAAUAAUAUCAGUCUUUAAAUGCAAGAUAUUUAAAGUGUAGCUGAAGUAUACUUCCACUAGUUCCACUUUAGCACAAUCAAAUAAGCUUCAGUAUAUCUUUAGUUGGACUUCAGCACUACUUCCGCAAUAUUAAAGUGCAUUAAGCACAAAAUUAAGUUGUUCUAAUUUAGCAGUUUAAAUAUACCAGUAUAGUAUACUAAUGUACAACUGCAGGGUAAUUUUAUUAAGUACAUAAAUAAGUAAAUAUGUUUGCAGUAUACUUAGCAUGAAAUGAAUGUAUUUCAAAUUUUAGUAUAUUUAUUUCUCACUAGGGUUAACAGCAGGUAAAAUGAUUUCUUAAUAGGCUCAAUAUGACAUGACUAUAAUAAAAUGACUAAUACAUGGCCUCCAGUGGCUUAUUGCUUUAAUAAAAGGGUGACAACAAAUAAUGAUGAAACAAGCUUUGAUUAACACACAGUAAUAAUCUGAAUGAACAAAUUUCGUGGGAAGUAAUAUGCGUAACGCAAGUAAUGUGACUUACAAUGUGAAACAGAUUUGAGACUUGAUCUGUUUUACCGAAUUAUUUCAGUUAUAACCGAUAUGAUAACUGGAACAGCAUGAAAUUUGGAAUCAAAAUUUAAUGUACAGCACAGAUUAUCAAUAGCUGUUUAGUACUUUUGGGCACUAAAGUAGAAUUUGAGUAUAUUGGAAAACAAAUGUUUGUCAUCAUGAUGCUCAUCAAUAUAUUUUCCACUAUAAACAAGUGCAUUCUGUGUCAGUGGCAUCAUCUGGAUGUACACAGACGUUCUGAGGCUCUGUGUGUUUGCACCUGUUAUUUGUACCUGCAGUGAGCAGUGAGAAGGACCCACUGUUUCCUCUGACCUGCACUGAUAACAUGCACCACAACAAUCCCUGACAACCAAUGGAAGAAAGAUUCCUGUAAUCCUGUAAAUUCACCCGGCUCCUGCAGCUUCUCCUGCCUGAGCUCUCAGUGCUUAAUCUACUUUCAGUACCUUUAUCCCAGACAAAUGUUAAGUUUAUUUAAACCGCAUGCGGUUAGCGAGAACACACACACUCACACACCAUCAGCGGGCUCUUUUAAUUCCUCAGUGGCCGGUCUUUAUCUCUUGACAUUUAUCAAGGGAAUCUUUCUUGCGGCCUAUAACAAGGGCCACUCCGUGAUUCUUGGGUGAACUAAACGAUUCGAUAUCAGGUUAGGUAUGUUUUAUAUUUCAAAAUGUUUGAUUUACUGCUCUCUGUGUACAUUGAUACAAUACACAUUUCAUGUUAUAAGUAAAGCAUUUUUAAUUGAAUUUAAACUGCAAACAAUUUCUUCGUCAACAUUUCUGUCUUGUUGCCUAUUAAAAUAAAACUGCUUUUUAAGCACAAAUCCAAGUCAAUUAAGCAAGAUUUAUGCACAAUUUAUGAGAAUUAUAUAUUUCAUUCAUUAUUUCAUUAUUCUUAAAGUUAUUUUGUCAGUCCAUGAAUUAACUUUUCUCAGUCCAUCUGUUUUAUUGUUAGCAAAUCUGACAGCCAGACAAUUUAUUAAACUAUUAAUAAAUAUUAAUUUCACAUUCAUUCAUUCAUUCACUGUUUGCAUGUCUGGCUAUCUUUCUGGAUGCCCGUGUCCGUCUGAAAAUGCUGGUCAGAUUUAUCAGCCAGAAAACUAACCAUUUUUUGCUCUGAUACACACAAAUGAAACUCAGUCCGAUGUGCUGUCAGCCAAAAAUGUAAAUAUGAAACCAUGCCAAUGAGGCUGAGACAUCAGAGACUGAUGCUUGCUGGACCAUUCAGAAGUCGGGCCGUUUAUUAAAUAACAAAAUCUUCGUUCCUGGCUGGAUCCAAGUCUUUGUUCCUUUUCUCAUCUAGUUGAUGAAAUGGUCCGUGUGUGUGUGAGCGUGUGGGAUGAGGGAGUAUUUAUGUGUUAGCUCAGAUGAAUAGUGUGAGCAGCACACAAGAUUUUAUCUGUGCAUUGGCACUGCCAGCCUGUGCCGAGUGUCAGACGGAUCCUAAUAAAACUGUCUGACCCCGCGUUGGGCACCAGGCUGGCGCUCGCCGGUCGUGGCUGACUGCUUGGUAUGCACAGAGCAUGGCAGAGCUUCAGCUGUUGCUGGGAGCUUUGUGGCACAGACCCAGCCUGAUUAGUUGGCAUUCGCCAUUGUUCAGAGUGAAACCAAGCAGGGGAAAAAUAUAAUUAGAGAGAGAGAGAGGAAGAGAGAGAGACACAGAGACACAGAGAGAGAGCAAUAGGAGGAAAUCAAUUGUUUUGAAACUACAUUUCUAAUGUGGGUAAUUUAGCAAAAUUAGGGUUUCAAAAGUUAAACACUCCAGGGAGAUAAAGAACAAAGCCAGGCGUUAGACUUAAUGAGUUCACAUCUUUAAAACAGGAAGGAGCCCACAGCUCCGUGCCAACCGGACCACUAAAACUACCAUCCGUCUGGAGUUCAAUGUCAUUUCUGCACAAAAACAACAUGACGACACAUAUAAACAUGGACGCCUUUAAACGCAAUAAACUGCAAGCCGCAUGUUCUGGUGAAGAAGUCUGGUGUUCAAGAGGUAAUGAAGUCUAUUCAUAGAAAUCGUUUUUGUGUAAAUGAAGGUGUCAGCAUAUGUUGGUUCAAUAUGUUGCUCGUUUUUUUUGGCUAUGCAUCAGACAGAUUUUACGUUACUGGAUUAAACAAAAAAUUACAUUACAUCUGGUGGAUACAUGAGGAUAAAGCCAAGCAGACUUGUUUCAUAGUAGUGCAGGUGCUGGGGUCUACUACGAAGGGCGGCACUAGAAAAAAUUGGCUGUAUGUUUUACCUUCAUUUAAGAGAAAAUCUUUGCAAAAAAAUUAAAAGAGAUUCCCAAAUUCAAGAAUUUUUUUUUUAAAUCGAGAAUGAAUCAAUUGUUAAUCGCAUACCAAAAGAAACUCGUGUGGGAAUAACUGAUAAUCCUGGCCCUUCCUCCUGCUGCCGAUGCGAUAAAGGUCAUUUAUAGAUGAGCUGCAGUGGCGACCAGACAGCCAGACAGAGCGAUUAACAUGACGACCUCUCCUGCACCCCUCACCCCAAAGAAAAAACACCUCAGCAGACAUACAGGAUCGAGUUUUAUUUAAAAACCAGAAGAAACCAUCAUCAUCAUCAUAGGCAUGUGAACAUACUGAACAUUCAAUCUCUCAGACACGCCAGCGCCGCAUCCUCUCUCUCGUCCACCGUUCUCUUUCUUAUCUCUCACAGACAUCCGUCCCACGUCCGUCUCUGUCGGGACACGGCCAGGGGAUCGAGUGCUUUUGCCCUCUGCCCAGGUCCCAAGAGCU